rnacentral:rRNA from 1 species
UACGUAGGUGGCAAGCGUUUGUCCGGAAUUAUUGGGCGUAAAGCGCGCGCAGGCGGUCCUUUAAGUCUGAUGUGAAAGCCCACGGCUCAACCGUGGAGGGUCAUUGGAAACUGGGGGACUUGAGUGCAGGAGAGAAAAGUGGAAUUCACGUGUAGCGGUGAAAUGCGUAGAGAUGUGGAGGAACACCAGUGGCGAAGGCGACUUUUUGGCCUGUAACUGACGCUGAGGCGCGAAAGCGUGGGGAGCAAACAGGGAU